rnacentral:rRNA from 1 species
CUGGCUCAGAUUGAACGCUGGCGGCAGGCUUAACACAUGCAAGUCGAACGGUAACAUAAAGAAGCUUGCUUCUUUGAUGACGAGUGGCGGACGGGUGAGUAAUGCUUGGGAAUCUGGCUUAUGGAGGGGGAUAACUACGGGAAACUGUAGCUAAUACCGCGUAGAAUCGGGAGAUGAAAGUGUGGGACCUUCGGGCCACAUGCCAUAGGAUGAGCCCAAGUGGGAUUAGGUAGUUGGUGAGGUAAAGGCUCACCAAGCCGACGAUCUCUAGCUGGUCUGAGAGGAUGACCAGCCACACUGGGACUGAGACACGGCCCAGACUCCUACGGGAGGCAGCAGUGGGGAAUAUUGCGCAAUGGGGGCAACCCUGACGCAGCCAUGCCGCGUGAAUGAAGAAGGCCUUCGGGUUGUAAAGUUCUUUCGGUAGCGAGGAAGGCAUUUAGUUUAAUAAACUGGAUGAUUGACGUUAACUACAGAAGAAGCACCGGCUAACUCCGUGCCAGCAGCCGCGGUAAUACGGAGGGUGCGAGCGUUAAUCGGAAUAACUGGGCGUAAAGGGCACGCAGGCGGUGACUUAAGUGAGGUGUGAAAGCCCCGGGCUUAACCUGGGAAUUGCAUUUCAUACUGGGUCGCUAGAGUACUUUAGGGAGGGGUAGAAUUCCACGUGUAGCGGUGAAAUGCGUAGAGAUGUGGAGGAAUACCGAAGGCGAAGGCAGCCCCUUGGGAAUGUACUGACGCUCAUGUGCGAAAGCGUGGGGAGCAAACAGGAUUAGAUA